rnacentral:rRNA from 1 species
CAGUCGCCACGGUAAUACGAAGGGGGCUAGCGUUGCUCGGAAUGACUGGGCGUAAAGGGCGCGUAGGCGGCGAUCAUAGUCAGGCGUGAAAUUCCUGGGCUCAACCUGGGGGCUGCGCUUGAUACUUGGUUGCUUGAGUGGGGAAGAGGGUCGUGGAAUUCCCAGUGUAGAGGUGAAAUUCGUAGAUAUUGGGAAGAGCACCGGUGGCGAAGGCGGCGACCUGGUCCUUGACUGACGCUGAGGCGCGAAAGCGUGGGGAGCGAACAGGAUUAGAUACCCCCGUAGUCCCUGUCUCUUAUAC